rnacentral:rRNA from 1 species
AGGGUUUGAUCAUGGCUCAGAACGAACGCUGGCGGCGUGGAUAAGACAUGCAAGUCGAACGAUUACUAUUGGGUAGCGACAUUCGGUGGUGAGAGUGGCGCAAGGGUGCGUAACACGUGGGUAAUUUGCCGUAAAGUCUGGGAUAACUCGCUGAAAGGCGAGCUAAUACCGGAUGUGAUUUCUGGAAGGCAUCUUCUGGAACUUAAAGUCGGGGAUCGUAAGACCUGACGCUUUUCGAUAAGCCCGCGGCCUAUCAGCUAGUUGGUGAGGUAACGGCUCACCAAGGCUAAGACGGGUAGCUGGUCUGAGAGGACGACCAGCCACACUGGAACUGAGACACGGUCCAGACACCUACGGGUGGCAGCAGUCGAGAAUUUUUCUCAAUGGGGGAAACCCUGAAGGAGCGACGCCGCGUGGGGGAUGAAUGGCUUCGGCCCGUAAACCCCUGUCAUUUGCGAUCAAACCUUACGACCUAACACGUCGUAAGCUGAUAGUAGCGGAAGAGGAAGGGACGGCUAACUCUGUGCCAGCGGCCGCGGUAAUACAGAGGUCCCAAGCGUUGUUCGGAUUCACUGGGCGUAAAGGGUGCGUAGGCGGUCGGGUAAGUCUGACGUGAAAUCUUCAAGCUCAACCUGGAAACUGCGUCGGAUACUAUUCGGCUAGAGGAAUGGAGGGGAGACUGGGAUACUUGGUGUAGCAGUGAAAUGCAUAGAUAUCAAGUGGAACACCAGUGGCGAAGGCGAGUCUCUGGACAUUUCCUGACGCUGAGGCACGAAAGCCAGGGGAGCAAACGGGAUUAGAUACCCCGGUAGUCCUGGCCCUAAACGGUGCACGUUUGCUGUAAGAGGAAUCGACCCCUUUUGUGGCGAAGCUAACGCGUUAAACGUGCCGCCUGGAAGUACGGCCG